rnacentral:rRNA from 1 species
AUUGAACGCUGGCGGCAGGCCUAACACAUGCAAGUCGAACGGUAACAGGAAGAAGCUUGCUUCUUUGCUGACGAGUGGCGGACGGGUGAGUAAUGUCUGGGAAACUGCCUGAUGGAGGGGGAUAACUACUGGAAACGGUAGCUAAUACCGCAUAACGUCGCAAGACCAAAAAGGGGGACCUUCGGGCCUCUUGCCAUCGGAUGUGCCCAGAUGGGAUUAGCUAGUAGGUGGGGUAACGGCUCACCUAGGCGACGAUCCCUAGCUGGUCUGAGAGGAUGACCAGCCACACUGGAACUGAGACACGGUCCAGACUCCUACGGGAGGCAGCAGUGGGGAAUAUUGCACAAUGGGCGCAAGCCUGAUGCAGCCAUGCCGCGUGUAUGAAGAAGGCCUUCGGGUUGUAAAGUACUUUCAGCGGGGAGGAAGGGAGUAAAGUUAAUACCUUUGCUCAUUGACGUUACCCGCAGAAGAAGCACCGGCUAACUCCGUGCCAGCAGCCGCGGUAAUACGGAGGGUGCAAGCGUUAAUCGGAAUUACUGGGCGUAAAGCGCACGCAGGCGGUUUGUUAAGUCAGAUGUGAAAUCCCCGGGCUCAACCUGGGAACUGCAUCUGAUACUGGCAAGCUUGAGUCUCGUAGAGGGGGGUAGAAUUCCAGGUGUAGCGGUGAAAUGCGUAGAGAUCUGGAGGAAUACCGGUGGCGAAGGCGGCCCCCUGGACGAAGACUGACGCUCAGGUGCGAAAGCGUGGGGAGCAAACAGG